rnacentral:rRNA from 1 species
GUAGGGGGCAAGCGUUGUCCGGAUUUAUUGGGCGUAAAGAGCGUGUAGGCGGCCUGAAAGGUCAGCUGUGAAAACUCGAGGCUCAACCUCGAGACGUCGGUUGAAACCAUCUGGCUAGAGUCCGGAAGAGGAGUGUGGAAUUCCCGGUGUAGCGGUGAAAUGCGCAGAUAUCGGGAAGAACACCCGUGGCGAAGGCGGCACUCUGGGACGGUACUGACGCUGAGACGCGAAAGCGUGGGGAGCGAACAGGAUUAGAUACCCUGGUAGUCCACGCUGUAAACGAUGAGUGCUAGGUGUGGGGGGUGUCGACUCCCUCCGUGCCGAAGCUAACGCAUUAAGCACCCCGCCUGGGGAGUACGGCCGCAAGGCUA